GAACCAUGGGGUCGGGUCGUUCUGCCUGGCGGAGUGACCUAGGGGUACAGGGAGUGCCUCCGUCGUCGGACCGGGUUCUGUGACGC
rnacentral:ncRNA from 1 species